UACGUAGGGUGCGAGCGUUAAUCGGAAUUACUGGGCGUAAAGCGUGCGCAGGCGGUUCGUUGUGUCGGCGGUGAAAGCCCCGGGCUCAACCUGGGAACUGCCUUUGUGACUGCAAGGCUUGAGUGCGGCAGAGGGGGAUGGAAUUCCGCGUGUAGCAGUGAAAUGCGUAGAUAUGCGGAGGAACACCGAUGGCGAAGGCAAUCCCCUGGGCCUGCACUGACGCUCAUGCACGAAAGCGUGGGGAGCAAACAGG
rnacentral:rRNA from 1 species